UACGUAGGGGGGCAAGCGUUGUCCGGAUUUAUUGGGCGUAAAGAGCGUGUAGGCGGCUUUACAGGUCCGUUGUGAAAACUCGAGGCUCAACCUCGAGACGCCGGUGGAAACCGUAAGGCUAGAGUCCGGAAGAGGAGAGUGGAAUUCCUGGUGUAGCGGUGAAAUGCGCAGAUAUCAGGGAGGAACCAGCCCGUAGGCGAAAGCGGCGUCGUCUGGGACGGUACUGACGCUGAAGACGCGGAAAGCAGUGGGGAGUCAAACAGG
rnacentral:rRNA from 1 species